rnacentral:tRNA from 5 species
GCCCGUGUGGCGGAACUGGCAGACGCGCAGCGUUCAGGUCGCUGUUUGGGUAACCGAGUACAGGUUCGAAUCCUGCCACGGGCAUCA